rnacentral:misc_RNA from 1 species
CCUUUCCUUCCUUACCCUUCCCUUUCCUUCUUCUCUCUGUAUGUUUUCUUAGCUCAAGUUCGCACAUGCCCUUUCUUCUCCUUAUUGUUUUUUUUUCAAAAAUUUUUUUUACUAUUAUUCCUGAAUAGAGUGGCACACAAGAACUCCAUCAUUACAUGUCCUUAACUCUCUAAUCUUGCUUCCUUUGUAUGUCCUAAAACAGAACACCCACCAUCAAGAGAUUUUCUUUUUCCCCAUUUUUCCAAGCAAAUUGCCACUACUUUCUUGAUUGUAUGUUCUGACUUCAAUUGUCCUUCUGGGUCCCAAACUUUUCUUAGAACCACC